GGUUCCGAAAGCGGGAGUGGAGGAAGAAGCGAAGGGGUUAGGGUUAGGGUUAGGGGUGGCGAAGGGGUUGGGUGUGAGUUGGGGAGUGGAGGCGGCGGGUGUGGCGAAGGGGUUAGGGGUGCCGAAUGCGGGGGUGGAUGAGGGAGUGCCGAAGGCGGGGCUCGAGUUGGCCGGUGUUCCGAACAUCCUGCUGCUGCUGCUGCUGCUGCUGCUGCUGCUGCUUGUGCUUAAGAGGAGGAGGAGGAAACCCUAGAUUAGAUUAUAG
rnacentral:lncRNA from 1 species